UACCACCGGUGCCAGCCCGAAUUCCAGCCCUUCUCCAGCUUCCAGUGAAUCACCUGUGCCACCAGCACCUGAUGGGCUGCCACCAGACGGAUCCAGGCCACCGGAGAUGAUUCCAACACUGGACACAUCCACGCUGGGAGAGGGGACAACCCCGCUGCCCAUCCCGCCCACGGAUUAUGCCGCAGUUUCCAUCCAGUCCGUGGCCUCUUCUGUUGGACUCCUGGUGCUGCUGGCCAUUGGAAUUGCGGCCGUCUGCUGCUGGAGGAGGAGGAAGUAAGUGCCAAACCCCUGGAAUGAGUUUUCCAAAGCUUCCAUGCUUUCCAAAGAAAAGCCUUGGAAUGCCACUGAUGCUC